UACAGAGGGUGAGAGCGUUAAUCGGAAUUACUGGGCGUAAAGCGUGCGUAGGCGGUCGUGUAAGUCGGGUGUGAAAGCCCCGGGCUCAACCUGGGAAUUGCAUUCGUGACUGCACGGCUGGAGUGCGGAAGAGGGAAGCGGAAUUUCCGGUGUAGCGGUGAAAUGCGUAGAUAUCGGAAGGAACAUCAGUGGCGAAAGCGGCUUCCUGGUCCAGCACUGACGCUCAGUCACGAAAUCGUGGGGAGCAAACAGG
rnacentral:rRNA from 1 species